rnacentral:rRNA from 1 species
ACGAACGCUGGCGGCGUGCUUAACCCAUGCCAGUCGAACGGAAAGGCCCUGCUUUUGUGGGGUGCUCGAGUGGCGAACGGGUGAGUAACACGUGAGUAACCUGCCCUUGACUUUGGGAUAACUUCAUGAAACUGGGGCUAAUACCGGAUAGGAGCUCCUGCUGCAUGGUGGGGGUUGGAAAGUUUCGGCGGUUGGGGAUGGACUCGCGGCUUAUCAGCUUGUUGGUGGGGUAGUGGCUUACCAAGGCUUUGACGGGUAGCCGGCCUGAGAGGGUGACCGGCCACAUUGGGACUGAGAUACGGCCCAGACUCCUACGGGAGGCAGCAGUGGGGAAUAUUGCACAAUGGGCGGAAGCCUGAUGCAGCAACGCCGCGUGCGGGAUGACGGCCUUCGGGUUGUAAACCGCUUUCGCCUGUGACGAAGCGUGAGUGACGGUAAUGGGUAAAGAAGCACCGGCUAACUACGUG